rnacentral:rRNA from 1 species
AUUGAACGCUGGCGGCAUGCUUUACACAUGCAAGUCGAACGGCAGCGGGGGCUUCGGCCUGCCGGCGAGUGGCGAACGGGUGAGUAAUGCAUCGGAACGUGCCCAUGUCGUGGGGGAUAACGUAGCGAAAGCUACGCUAAUACCGCAUACGUCCUGAGGGAGAAAGCGGGGGAUCUUCGGACCUCGAGCGAUUGGAGCGGCCGAUGUCGGAUUAGCUAGUUGGUGGGGUAAAGGCCCACCAAGGCGACGAUCCGUAGCGGGUCUGAGAGGAUGAUCCGCCACACUGGGACUGAGACACGGCCCAGACUCCUACGGGAGGCAGCAGUGGGGAAUUUUGGACAAUGGGCGCAAGCCUGAUCCAGCCAUGCCGCGUGAGUGAAGAAGGCCUUCGGGUUGUAAAGCUCUUUCGGCCGGGAAGAAAUCGUGUUCUCUAACAUAGGACAUGGAUGACGGUACCGGACUAAGAAGCACCGGCUAACUACGUGCCAGCCGCCGCUGUAACAC